GACGAAUGCUGGCGGCGUGCCUAAUACAUGCAAGUCGAGCGAGUCUGCCUUGAAGAUCGGAGUGCUUGCACUCUGUGAAACAAGAUACAGGCUAGCGGCGGACGGGUGAGUAACACGUGGGUAACCUGCCCAAGAGAUCGGGAUAACACCUGGAAACAGAUGCUAAUACCGGAUAACAACAGAUGAUGCCUAUCAACUGUUUAAAAGAUGGUUCUGCUAUCACUCUUGGAUGGACCUGCGGUGCAUUAGCUAGUUGGUAGGGUAACGGCCUACCAAGGCGAUGAUGCAUAGCCGAGUUGAGAGACUGAUCGGCCACAUUGGGACUGAGACACGGCCCAAACUCCUACGGGAGGCAGCAGUAGGGAAUCUUCCACAAUGGACGCAAGUCUGAUGGAGCAACGCCGCGUGAGUGAAGAAGGGUUUCGGCUCGUAAAGCUCUGUUGUUGGUGAAGAAGGACAGGGGUAGUAACUGACCUUUGUUUGACGGUAAUCAAUUAGAAAGUCACGGCUAACUACGUG
rnacentral:rRNA from 1 species